UAGAAAAAGUACAUUAAACAUUAAACAUCUAUCUUAAAAUGUAAAAUAUAGAUUUAAAUAAAUAUGUAAUAUACGAAAAUAAUAUUAAUAAGUAAAUACAUAAUAUAAAAAAUGAAAAAAUCAUUAAGCAUUAAACAUCUAUCUUAAAAUGUAAAUAGAAAAUUAGAAAAAAGGGCAAUACUACAUUAAACAAAAGAAGAAAAAUGUAUAGUUUUACAUCAAACAAGUCCCUAUAAAACCCAUUAUUCCUUUGACCAAAAAAAAACCAUUAUUCCAUUGACAUCAAUCUUACAACUAUCAAACAAGAGUCUAAAGAACUCCAGCAACGAGAGAAUAUAAUAUCGUCAUCAAGCAUAAACCGUAAUAUUAAGCUUCCGUAAGAUUCCCUCUUUCCGUCUGAACCCAAGUAACGAAGUGGAUGAUAGUUUUCAAAACACAUUCAAUGCCAGUAAGGCCUGAGCAAAAAAACGGAACCGAAAAUCCGAACCGAACUAAUGGAAGCCCGACCGAAACACUUUAAUACUUGACCAGUUUCUACAUUUCUAUAUCCGAAAUAACCGAACUGAACUGGAACCGAACCGAACUGGAACCGAACUGGAACCGAACCGAAUAUAUAGUUUUAUAUCCGAAAGUAUCCAAAAAUACAAAUCAUCAAAAAAAUCUGUAGUACCCAAAAGUAUCUGAUACUUUAUCCAAAAUAAUCCAAUUUUUUUUUGUUAUUUCGAGUAAUUAUUACCCGAACCGAAAUAGUAUACCCGAACAAUAAGUAUCAGACUAUUCUCAGGUGUUUACUGGAUAUUAAAAUCAAUAUCCGAAGUCCGAACCAAACCAGAUCCGAACCAAAAAUAGCUGUUGUAGCAUAGAGAAAUCAAAGGAAGAAAAAGGUGGACUCACUGUCCCGCAACGUUUGAGUCAGAGAGAAGCUACACUGAUGAAGAUUCUGUUGAAGAGGAAACAUCGCUGCUUUGGUCAAAAGGUAAGAGGCUCACAAUCCAUGAAUUCUUCAUCAAAUACAAGAUAAAACUGAUUCACAGUAAUUGUGUAUAAAAUGGGUUUACAGUUUCAAUAUCAGAGCAGCAGCCACCAGUGAAAAGAUAGUUCGUGAAUGACGUUAAUUAGAUGCGUCUACUAGAACUUGAAAACCCAUGGAAACUUCCUUUCUAUCUUUUGUUGGUAUUAUGAUAGAAACUUUUUUAUUUUUGUAUUUUAAUGUUAUGUUCUCAGCUAAUCAGAGUCAAUUUCUGAGGUACUUUUGUCACCUAUGUAUAUUGAUCAACUCUGCAAAUGAUCCAGCUACAUUAAACCGUGUUUCUGUAGAAGAUAGAAGUCCUUUUAUUUUCUCUUAUGUGUCAUAUUUAUAUCUAUAUUAUGAUGCCAAAAGAACUGGUUUUCCUUCUAUAGGCUGUGCGGACAAUAACAGAACAACAGAAUAUGGAGAAUUCAUAGAAGAAACAUUGCACAUCAACAGACCCGACAUACAAGAGCAUCUCUUCUUAGCCUUCCAAAGAGAAAAUGAGUGUUUAAGAUAUACAUGAUCAGUAGGUUUCAUCGCAUUGUAAUACAGGAGUCUCUAGAAAUCCAAAAGAUCUGAUUUCUUUGUGAUGAUCAACCCAUCUAUUGUUGUAUUCGGAAGAAUAUGUGGUAUCAAAAGAUGGACAAUGAGUUGUAGGAAAAUAUUUGUGAGUAAGAGUGAUCAUGUAUUUCUCUAAUUUUCGAGUAGGAUUAUAUUGAGGUCCAAUAUAAAACAAUAAUAAAAUUUGCAAGUAAAAUAUAUUGCCAAUUUGGAAACUUGCAAAUUAUGAAAAUGCAAGCAAUAAGAAUUUGUUUAAUUCAAUAUUUGUCGCAUGAAUGUGUGUAAGUGAUUUUUUGGUUGGGUUCUUCCAUGAGAUGCAUUACUUUGAGUGAAUCAGUCUUCACUUUCACUUCUUUUUUUUUACAAGCACAACACACAAACCUACUCUGGACAUUCUCCUCCUUGAUGAAAAGGUAUAUCCAGUAAACAACCAAAAUGAUUUAUCCAUAACUCUUAAAGCACCCCUAAACAAUUUAUCUGUUACAUUGCAAGCUUUUUCAAGAAUACUUAAAUCGUAAUUAAGCAUUGAAAGAAUUAAAAAAUUAAUAAACAUACAGAAAAAGAAAAAUAAGAUUAACCAAAUAAAAACAACCAUAAGUAAAUUAUCAAUAUAGCUCAACUACAAAGGUAAAAAACACAUUGUCCAUAUCAUCAUAAAAUUAUUAUUCGAAAAGAAGCCAUGUGGCAUCAUUACUAUUAUUACCUUAUUACAGUAAAUCAAAUUAUUACCAUUUAAAUAUAUACAUAUAUAAUAUACGAAAUAUAAGUAAAUAUAUAUUUAAAUAUAAUAUACAAAAUAUAAGUAAAUAUAUAUUUAAAUUAGUAAAUAUAUAAUAUACGAAAAUAAUAAUAAUAAGUAAAUAUACAAUUCAAGAAAAUAGAAAUAUUACAUUAAACAUCUAUCUUAAAAUGUAAAAAUUAAAUAUAAGUAAAUAUACAUUUAAAUAUGUAAAUAUAUAAUAUAUGAAAAAAAAUAAUAAGUAAGUACAUAAUUUAAAAAAUGGAAAUAGUACAUUACAAAAGUAAUAUACAAUAUAAAAAUGUCAAUACUUAUUAUUUGUUUGAUGUUGAUUUAGUGUAGAAGUCGAGCCGUCGCCACCACAAGAGCUCGCAAAGCCGCAACGUGGACCUCGUCCUCGCAUUCUCGAGGCGAGAAAGUGUUUCUUGAGGAAGAAGAAAGACAGAUCUUUCAUUUUUAUGUGUUUGGAUAUUGCCUUAAUGAUUUGAAACUGAUGGUUACGGACAAGAAGCCAUGGUGGGUGUAAUGGUGUGUGGCGUGAGUCGAAUGAAUUUAGGGGUGGUGGGAGAUAGUUUAUCUAAGUAUAGUUAUGUUUUAAUGUAUGUCACGUAGAAAAGUUUUCUCAUCUUUCACGUAUUAUAUAAAUGCUUUUGUUUCCCGAACCAUCUUUCAUGAUUCUUUUUGUUUUUUUUGAAAAAAGGCUCAUCUUUCAUGAUUCUUAGUGAUGUUUUUAUAUGAAUGUUAAAAUUUAUACAAUUUCAAGAAUACGCUGAUGUAUCAAUACUAUUAAAACCAAAUGGACUUUUUUGAGAUCCCCUUCAAGUUUUAAAGUAUUUACCAUUUUCUGCCACUAAAAUAUUUUUAAUCUAUACUUUUAUAUUUUUCCUAUUUUCCAUGAAAUCUAUUUAUUCCAAACUAAAUCUAUUUAAACAACUAUAUUUAGUUUAUAGUUUUCUUUCCAGUUCACGAACAUAAAUUAAGUUUCUUUUCUUUAUAAAAAAAUUUCAUUUGUUUUACAUUAAAUGUCUUCGUGUUGUAAAAUUAUAUGACCCAUGACUAAACAUGUAUUAUAAUUCAAAAAAAAAAACAUAUGUAUACAUAUUGAGACUUUGAUCAUCGGGCUCCAUAAACAAUCGCAUUACAACAAUUGGAAGUUUUGAUAUUCAUACAAUUAUAUAAGGAUGAUGCUUAAUACUAAACAUUUUUCCUAUUCAGAAUUAUGAAAACGUAACAUAUAUGAACAGAUUCAUGUUAAUAUAUUUUGUAAGUUUGCCUUAUUAGAUGUAACACAAACUCCUAAACCCCAAAUCAUUUUAUUUAGUUUUAUUAUCAAUAAUAUUAAAAAUAAACAGCGAACUACAUGGAUAACAAUUAAAGCGUAUACUAGAUUUUGACCCGCGCUUGGAAAGCGCGGGUUUUUUGAAUUAUAUUAUAAUACAAAGUCUUAUUAUAUCGAAACUAUAAUUUUUAACAGUUAUAUAAUCUAUGAAUUAGUUUAUUUGAUAUUUUAUAUAUACACUUUUACGUAAACUUCUUUUAGGCAUGAGAAUUAUAUUCGGAUAAAAAAAAAA